CUCCCCAUAUCCUCAAGUCCAUUCUCUAGUAGGUCUGUGUCUUUAUUCCUGUCUUACCCCUAGGUUCUUCAUGACAUUUUUUUUUUUAGAUUCCAUAUAUAUGUGUUAGCAUACGGUAUUUGUCUUUCUCUUUCUGACUUACUUCACUCUGUAUGACAGACUCUAGGUCCAUCCACCUCACUACAAAUAACUCAAUUUCGUUCCUUUUUAUGGCUGAGUCAUAUUCCAUUGUGUAUAUGCGCCACAUCUUCUGUAUCCAUGCAUCCGAUGAGGGACACUUGGGUUAACAGUGAGGUGCCACAGGGCUCAGCCCUCGACCCUCUGCUCUUCUCUGUACUCGCUCCCAUGGUGACUAAUCCUAUCUCAGGGCUGUAAAUACCAUCUUACAUGCUGAUGACUCUCAGUUUUAUCUCUGGCCACAUCUCUCCCCUGAACCCGCAUAUCCGGCUGCCUAUUCUAUGUAUCUGCUGACUUCUCCAAUGUAGUGUGUUCACUGUUAAGUGACCUCCCAAUCCUGUUUCCCAUUAAAGUUAAUGACACGUCAA